GACAGAGGGUGCAAGCGUUGUCCGGAUUUAUUGGGCGUAAAACGUCUGUAGGCGGUCUGCUAAGUCUGAAGUUAAAUAGUGGAGCUCAACUCCAUCUCUGCUUUAGAUACUGACAGACUAGAGUGCGUUAGGGGUUAUUGGAAUUCCCGGUGUAGUGGUGAAAUACGUAGAUAUCGGGAGGAACUCCAGUGGCGAAAGCGAAUAACUGGGGCGUAACUGACGCUGAGAGACGAAAGCGUGGGGAGCAAAAAGG
rnacentral:rRNA from 1 species